rnacentral:misc_RNA from 1 species
UCCGGUUUGGCACCGGCAGUCCCCCCAGAGUCCUCGGCUUCACCCGUUAGCAACUGGAGGCGGGGGUUGCGCUCGUUGCGGGACUUAACCCAACAUCUCACGACACGAGCUGACGACAGCCAUGCAGCACCUGUGCUUAGGCUCCGAAGAGGGCCCCCGAUCUCUCGAGGGUUUCCUAAGCAUGUCAAGCCCAGGUAAGGUUCUUCGCGUUGCGUCGAAUUAAACCACAUGCUCCACCGCUUGUGCGGGCCCCCGUCAAUUCCUUUGAGUUUCAGCCUUGCGGCCGUACUCCCCAGGCGGGGCACUUAAUGCGUUAGCGCCGGCACUCGGAGGGUCGCUCCCCCAAGCACCUAGUGCCCAUCGUUUACGGCGUGGACUAC